rnacentral:misc_RNA from 1 species
UUUCCGUAGGUGAACCUGCGGAAGGAUCAUUCAUAAUAAGUGUUUUAUGGCACUCUUUUAAAUCCAUAUCCACCUUGUGUGCAAUGUCAGGGUUGGUCUCUUUUUGAUCAGCCCCAAACAUCAACUAUUAUCUCAACUCUUUGUCUGAAAAAUAUUAUGAAUAAAACAAUUCAAAAUACAACUUUCAACAACGGAUCUCUUGGCUCUC